UAUAUAAGUGAGAUUUCUGUGGCUUUCACCCAUGACUUGACAUACUAUUAUGACAUACUAUUAUGACAUAUUAUUGAGUCACAAACAGCCUCCCCCUUCAAAAUAUUACAUAUGCUGUCUUGUGUAUGCUGUUACUCUGACACGCAGCAGAAGCCAGAUUUUGUACUUUGUGGAUAAUCUUUUUUCUAAAAAACGAUGACAUUCUUCAUCUUUGAAAUUUAAAACGUUAGCUCUUCACAUCUAGUUCAUCUCCUGGUCAAAGCUGGAGCGCCCCAUUAGCAGUCAAUGAGAACAGCAGCUAUCUUUCCCUCCCUUCGUGUGCAAGUCACAGCGGUGUCAUCUCCAGAUGCCUUUGUGUGAGGCAAGUUUAAAUACGGCAGUCUUUCCGGGAAAAGGGAGCUAUAAUACCAGCGGCCAUUACUGAGCAGACAGCAUGGACCAGGGACUCUACUAGAGAUUCUGAUGUAAUGAACUCAGGAUGUGCAGCCAAGGCUGAGACCCCUUGCAGAUGGACAUGAGCGAAGUGUCUGGAGCACAGGGCAGCAGGAUUCAUUGGCUGGGGGGUGAUAGGACGUGACAGCUUUGAGCUAAGAUGUGAAGGAUGAAUAGGAGUUUCCCAGGCACACAAAUCAGGAAUCAUCUGGCUGGCAGAAAAACACAUUCUCUUAAAUAACCAUAUGAAGUUCAUUUUAAAAUAAUUAUGUCUAUGCAGAGAAAGCAAGCUGGUUGAGCGAGGUCAGAAGAAGCUUCUCUAAAGCCUCACAUAAGAUUCAUCUAAGAUGUAAUAAAU